GCAGUCGAGCGGAACGAGUUAUCUGAACCUUCGGGGAACGAUAACGGCGCUCUACCGGCGGACGGGUGAGUAAUGCCUAGGAAAUUGCCCUGAUGUGGGGGAUAACCAUUGGAAACGAUGGCUAAUACCGCAUAAUACCUACGGGUCAAAGAGGGGGACCUUCGGGCCUCUCGCGUCAGGAUAUGCCUAGGUGGGAUUAGCUAGUUGGUGAGGUAAUGGCUCACCAAGGCGACGAUCCCUAGCUGGUCUGAGAGGAUGAUCAGCCACACUGGAACUGAGACACGGUCCAGACUCCUACGGGAGGCAGCAGUGGGGAAUAUUGCACAAUGGGCGCAAGCCUGAUGCAGCCAUGCCGCGUGUGUGAAGAAGGCCUUCGGGUUGUAAAGCACUUUCAGUCGUGAGGAAGGUAGUGUAGUUAAUAGCUGCAUUAUUUGACGUUAGCGACAGAAGAAGCACCGGCUAACUCCGUGCCAGCAGCCGCGGUAAUACGGAGGGUGCGAGCGUUAAUCGGAAUUACUGGGCGUAAAGCGCAUGCAGGUGGUUUGUUAAGUCAGAUGUGAAAGCCCGGGGCUCAACCUCGGAAUAGCAUUUGAAACUGGCAGACUAGAGUACUGUAGAGGGGGGUAGAAUUUCAGGUGUAGCGGUGAAAUGCGUAGAGAUCUGAAGGAAUACCGGUGGCGAAGGCGGCCCCCUGGACAGAUACUGACACUCAGAUGCGAAAGCGUGGGGAGCAAACAGGAUUUAGAUACCCUGGUAGUCCACGCCGUAAACGAUGUCUACUUGGAGGUUGUGGCCUUGAGCCGUGGCUUUCGGAGCUAACGCGUUAAGUAGACCGCCUGGGGAGUACGGUCGCAAGAUUAAAACUCAAAUGAAUUGACGGGGGCCCCCCACAAGCGGUGGAAGCAUGUGGUUUUAAUUUCCA
rnacentral:rRNA from 1 species